AUUGAACGCUGGCGGCAUGCCUUACACAUGCAAGUCGAACGGCAGCACGGGAGCAAUCCUGGUGGCGAGUGGCGAACGGGUGAGUAAUAUAUCGGAACGUGCCCAGUCGUGGGGGAUAACGCAGCGAAAGCUACGCUAAUACCGCAUACGAUCUACGGAUGAAAGCGGGGGAUCGCAAGACCUCGCGCGAUUGGAGCGGCCGAUAUCAGAUUAGGUUGUUGGUGAGGUAAAAGCUCACCAAGCCUGCGAUCUGUAGCUGGUCUGAGAGGACGACCAGCCACACUGGAACUGAGACACGGUCCAGACUCCUACGGGAGGCAGCAGUGGGGAAUUUUGGACAAUGGACGCAAGUCUGAUCCAGCAAUGCCGCGUGCAGGACGAAGGCCUUCGGGUUGUAAACUGCUUUUGUACGGAACGAAACGGUGAGCUCUAAUACAGUUUGCUAAUGACGGUACCGUAAGAAUAAGCACCGGCUAACUACGUGCCAGCCGCCGCCGUAA
rnacentral:rRNA from 1 species